CAGCAGCCACGGUAAUACGAAGGGGGCUAGCGUCGCUCGGAAUGACUGGGCGUAAAGGGCGCGUAGGCGGACUUUUAAGUCAGGGGUGAAAUCCCAAGGCUCAACCUUGGAACUGCCUUUGAUACUGGAAGUCUUGAGUUCGGGAGAGGUGAGUGGAACUGCGAGUGUAGAGGUGAAAUUCGUAGAUAUUCGCAAGAACACCAGUGGCGAAGGCGGCUCACUGGCCCGAUACUGACGCUGAGGUGCGAAAGCGUGGGGAGCAAACAGGAUUAGAUACCCCUGUAGUCCCUGUCUCUUAUAA
rnacentral:rRNA from 1 species